CCUACGGGUGGCAGCAGUGGGGAAUAUUGCACAAUGGGGGAAACCCUGAUGCAGCAACGCCGCGUGAGUGAAGAAGUAUUUCGGUAUGUAAAGCUCUAUCAGCAGGGAAGAAGAUGACGGUACCUGAUUAAGAAGCCCCGGCUAACUACGUGCCAGCAGCCGCGGUAAUACGUAGGGGGCAAGCGUUAUCCGGAUUUACUGGGUGUAAAGGGAGCGCAGACGGCAGUGCAAGUCUGGAGUGAAAGCCCGGGGGCCAACCCCGGAACUGCUCUGGAAACUGUGCGGCUAGAGUGCUAGAGGGGCAGGCGGAAUUCCUAGUGUAGCGGUGAAAUGCGUAGAUAUUAGGAGGAACACCAGUGGCGAAGGCGGCAUGCUGGACAGUAACUGACGUUGAGGCUCGAAAGCGUGGGGAGCAAACAGGAUUAGAUACCCUAGUAGUC
rnacentral:rRNA from 1 species